UGCAGAAUGGCUUGAGUGAGGACGAGGCCCUGCAGCGUGCCCUGGAACUAUCCCUUGCGGAGGCUAAACCCCAGAUCCCAAGUUCUCAAGAGGAAGAAGACCUGGCGUUAGCACAGGCGCUGUCAGCCAGUGAGGCAGAGUACCAACAGCAGCAGGGUACACAGGGAAAGGAAGCACAGAGAAGCCUGGAUCACAGAGACAAGCAGGAGUAACGUGGAGGAUGUUCCAUGGAGCCUGGAGAGGAAGGAAGCUUGUGCAGAAGAGGGUGGCUGAGAAGCGCUCUCUGGUUGGGGCCUUGGUAGGUGCUAACCAGACUCAAUCCCCACAGCCUCUUACAUCGUAUUACCCCACUUUUCCCCGGGGCUGCCACAUGUAGCAGACAGGGAGAGGGCUGGGAAGAGUAAAGACUGGUGAUUAGUAAGA
rnacentral:lncRNA from 1 species